UACGUAGGGCGCAAGCGUUGUCCGGAAUUAUUGGGCGUAAAGAGCUCGUAGGCGGCUUGUCACGUCGGGUGUGAAAGCCCGGGGCUUAACCCCCGGGUCUGCAUUCGAUACGGGCUAGCUAGAGUGUGGUAGGGGAGAUCGGAAUUCCUGGUGUAGCGGUGAAAUGCGCAGAUAUCAGGAGGAACACCGGUGGCGAAGGCGGAUCUCUGGGCCAUUACUGACGCUGAGGAGCGAAAGCAUGGGGAGCGAACAGG
rnacentral:rRNA from 1 species